AUGGAGAGAAUUUUAAUUGGUGAUAUGCGUGACGGUGCUGCUUAUCUAGUUCAGAGCUCGGUUCGUCUAUUGAACAACAUGAAGCAUUUCAAAACUAUGCAAGACUCUCGCUGCAAGCCAUAUGAAGAAAGUGCAAAUGUUGUUAUCAAGCAGAUUGAGCAGGAUGAGGCUGCUGCCACCGACAGCAGGGCUGGUGAUGGUACCGAGGCUAAUGUUUCUGAUCAUGUUACGAAUGAUGUUGGCUUGGAGCGCCCUGUUGUUGAUAUUGAGCAGGAUGAGGCUGCUGCCACCGACAGCAGGGCUGAUGAUGGUACUGAGGCUAAUAUUUCUGAUCACCAUACGAAUGAUGUUGGCUUGGAGCGCCCUGUUGUUGAUGAGACCAGUCAUAAUGUUGAGGCUGCUGUUGACCGUGGAGUUAAUGAUCCAUCUACUGAUAAGUGCAAGGGUCCUGUUGUUGGCGACGAGCCUUUUUCGACUGUUGGUGAUGUUCCUUUGAAUGUUAGCAGCAGCAAGAUCAAUGAUGUUGCUGUGAAUGCUGCUAAGAUGAUGCUCGUGGUGUUCCAUUGA
rnacentral:rRNA from 1 species